CUGACUAAAGCUUAAAAAAUGAAGCAUUUUAUUUACACUAAUAGGAAUAUUGUUAAGUCAAUAUGGUCUGA
rnacentral:tRNA from 1 species